GCACUUCCUUCCUGCCGGGUGUGGCAGUUGGGUCUUGUGACUAGCUCUUCCUUCCUGCCGGUGUGGGACUGGCAGCCUGGUGUUGGAGGAGAGAGGAGCUUGGUCAGCCCAGUCUGGAGUGGCAUGCUCUUCUUGGUUCAGCCCGAAGACACAGGCUUCUGAAGCUUUGGGGUUUGGUGUCCCAUGCUUGCAGGCCCUCAGUAGGAAAGGAAGGAGGGAAGCAAAUAGUCCCUCUCCUCAAGGAGCCUACAUUCUGCCUGGAGGAUACUGCAUGAAUGCACAUAGCAUCAUCAAAGAAGGAGGGGAGAGGAAAGAAAGCACUAAAGGAAGCAAAAGGAUCCAGAAGGGAAGAUGAGUACUUCUUUGAUGUUUACAGAACAGUCCUUCACCCCCAGGUAUGCACAACUGUAUUGGAGGGUCUCACCUUUGGUCCAGUGAUCUAUUUUUAGAAGAACCACAAAAACUGAACCUUCCUGGACUCUGCCACCAGAAACAAAGCCAGCUUCCAAGAUGAUGACUGAACAAACAGAGCCUCGGUACAUGUCAGCUCCUCCUGAAAAUGGUCUGUUAAAACCAAAGUCUAAAUUACAUCACUUUGGCACAGCAGAAUCCACCCCAAGGGAAAAAUAACCAUUUUCUUAAAAUUUGACAUAGGAAACAGAAAGCUUCAUAAACUGUGAGACAUGGCGAGUAUUCACAAAUAAAAUAUAAUUAGAAAUGUCAAAA